rnacentral:rRNA from 1 species
GUACGCUGGCGGCACGCCUAACACAUGCAAGUCGAACGAAGUAGCAAUACUUAGUGGCAGACGGGUGAGUAACAUGUGGGUAUCUGCCCUUUGGCCUGGAAUAACACGAGGAAACUUGUGCUAAUACCGGAUAAGUCUUUACGGAGAAAGCUUUAUGCACCAUUGGAUGAGCCUGCACUUGAUUAGUUUGUUGGUGGGGUAAUGGCCUACCAAGACUGUGAUCAAUAGCUGAUUUGAGAGGAUGAUCAGCCACAUUGGGACUGAGACACGGCCCAAACUCCUACGGGAGGCAGCAGUGGGGAAUCUUGCACAAUGGAGGAAACUCUGAUGCAGCGAUGCCGCGUGAGUGAAGAAGGCCUUUGGGUUGUAAAGCUCUUUCGUCGGGGAAGAAAAUGACUGUACCCGAAUAAGAAGGUCCG